AUGCGCCCUCUCGUCUCCGCCCCGCCCCUCCUCCUCCUUUCUCCCCGCCGUCGUGGCGUGUCGGCGAGCAGCGGCGCUGGAGGCUUCAGCAGAGGCGGCGGGACGCUGCGGGAGGAGCCGCAAGGAUUAUUAGACUCGAAGCUGCUCCUCGGCAACGGAGGAAAAUCAAACGGGAGACGCGCCCAGUUGGAGAAGACCACCAGCUGAUAGUUGUUGCAGUCUUCAGGAUCCAGGAUAGCUUUUAAAGGAAGAGCCACUUCUUUGGGGAAAAUAGACAGACAGACAGACAGAGACAUACAUCAUAAUUUUAACAAUAACAGAUGGUAAUAUCUUAUAAGUUUGAAAGUUCUGUAUUCUUAAUAUGUAAAUUAAAACUUAAAAUGUAAAUUAAAUAAAAUUU
rnacentral:lncRNA from 1 species